rnacentral:rRNA from 1 species
GACAGAGGGUGCAAACGUUGUUCGGAAUUACUGGGCGUAAAGCGUGUGUAGGCGGCCCUGUAAGUCGGAUGUGAAAGCCCCGGGCUUAACCCGGGAAGUGCAUUCGAUACUGCGUGGCUUGAGUAUCGGAGAGGUUGGUGGAAUUCUCGGUGUAGAGGUGAAAUUCGUAGAUAUCGAGAGGAACACCGGUGGCGAAGGCGGCCAACUGGACGAAUACUGACGCUGAGACACGAAAGCGUGGGGAGCAAACAGG